rnacentral:tRNA from 1 species
CCUUUAGCUCAAUUGAAUAGAGCAUUUGACUUCGGAUCAAAAGGUUGAAGGUUUGAAUCCUUUAAGGU